rnacentral:rRNA from 1 species
CCUACGGGGGGCAGCAGUGAGGAAUAUUGGUCAAUGGCCGAGAGGCUGAACCAGCCAAGUCGCGUGAGGGAAGACGGCCCUACGGGUUGUAAACCUCUUUUGUCGGGGAGCAAAGAGAGUCACGUGUGACUCAUUGAGAGUACCCGAAGAAAAAGCAUCGGCUAACUCCGUGCCAGCAGCCGCGGUAAUACGGAGGAUGCGAGCGUUAUCCGGAUUUAUUGGGUUUAAAGGGUGCGCAGGCGGAGGUGCAAGUCAGCGGUCAAAUUGCGGGGCUCAACCCCGCCGAGCCGUCGGAACUGGGGGCCUUGAGUGCGGCGAGAAGUAUGCGGAAUGCGUGGUGUAGCGGUGAAAUGCAUAGAUAUCACGCAGAACUCCGAUUGUGAAGGCAGCAUACCGGCGCCCAACUGACGCUGAAGCACGAAAGCGUGGGUAUCGAACAGGAUUAGAUACCCUUGUAGUC